rnacentral:rRNA from 1 species
GGGCACUGACACAAGGGCCCAGGCCCUACGGGGCGCAGCAGGUGCGAAAACUCCACAAUGCACGAAAGUGUGAUGGGGCCAUCCCGAGUGCCGUCCGCUGAGGACGGCUUUUCCACGCUGUAAGGAGGCGUGGGAAUAAGGAGAGGGCAAGCCUGGUGUCAGCCGCCGCGGUAAUACCAGCUCUCCGAGUGGUAGGGAUGAUUAUUGGGCUUAAAGCGUCCGUAGCCAGCUCUUCAAGUCUCUCGUUAAAUCCAACGAUCCAAUCGUCGGACUGCGGGGGAUACUGCUGAGCUAGGAGGCGGGAGAAGUCGACGGUAUUUCCGGGGUAGGAGUGAAAUCCUAUAAUCCCGGGAGGACCACCAGUGGCGAAGGCGGUCGACUAGAACGCGCUCGACGGUGAGGGACGAAAGCUGGGGGAGCGAACCGGAUUAGAUACCCGGGUAGUCCCAGCAGUAAACGAUGCGGGCUAGGUGUUAGGGCGGCUACGGGCCGCUCUAGUGCCGCAGGGAAACUGUUAAGCCCGCCGCCUGGGGAGUACGGCCGCAAGGCUGAAACUUAAAGGAAUUGGCGGGGGAGCACCACAAGGGGUGAAGCUUGCGGUUUAAUUGGAGUCAACACCGGAAAUCUUACCGGGGGCGACA